AUUGAACGCUGGCGGCAGGCCUAACACAUGCAAGUCGAACGAGUGGCGGACGGGUGAGUAAUGUCUGGGAAUCUGCCUGAUGGAGGGGGAUCACUACUGGACACGGUCUCUAAUACCGCAUACCCUCAUGUGUGCCCAGAUGGGAUUGGCUUGUUGGUGGGGUAACGGCGAACCAAGGCGACGACCCCUAGCUGGUCUGAGAGGAUGAUCAGCCACACUGGAACUGAGACACGGUCCAGACUCCUACGGGAGGCAGCAGUGGGGAAUAUUGCACAAUGGGCGCAAGCCUGAUGCAGCCAUGCCGCGUGUAUGAAGAAGGCCUUCGGGUUGUAAAGUACUUUCAGUCGGGAGGCGUUACCCGCAGAAGAAGCACCGGCUAACUCCGUGCCAGCAGCCGCGGUAAUUC
rnacentral:rRNA from 1 species